CUAGCCGUAAACGAUGAGCGCUAUGUGUGAGGGGUAUCGACCCCCCUCGUGCAGUAGCUAACGCAUUAAGCGCUCCGCCUGGGGAGUACGGCCGCAAGGUUGAAACUCAAAGGAAUUGACGGGGGCCCGCACAAGCAGCGGAGCAUGUGGUUUAAUUCGAAGCAACGCGUAGAACCUUACCAGGGCUUGACAUCCACCGAAUCCUGCAGAGAUGCGGGAGUGCCUCUCUAAUGAGAGGAACGGUGAGACAGGUGG
rnacentral:rRNA from 1 species